GAUGAAGAACGUAGCGAAAUGCGAUACUUGGUGUGAAUUGCAGAAUCCCGUGAACCAUCGAGUCUUUGAACGCAAGUUGCGCCCGAAGCCAUUAGGCCGAGGGCACGCCUGCCUGGGCGUCACACGUCGUUGCCCCCCCAUCUACUCCUUCGGGAUUGCGGGGGGCGGAUGAUGGCCUCCCGUGCGCCUCGUCGCGCGGUUGGCAUAAAUGCCAAGUCCUCGGCGACGCACGCCACGACAAUCGGUGGUUGCGAAACCUCGGUUGCCCGUCGUGUGCGGUCGUCGCGCAUCGAGGGCUCGAAAAAAUUGCCGGGCUCCGGCUCGGCUUUCAACGCGACCCCAGGUCAGGCGGGGUUACCCGCUGAAUUUAAGCAUAUCAAGCGGAGGA
rnacentral:misc_RNA from 1 species